GGUCACAUUCCGAACCCGGAAGCUAAGACUGACUGCGCCGAUGGUACUGCACUCGGGAGGGUGUGGGAGAGUAGGACACCGCCGGAC
rnacentral:rRNA from 1 species